UACAUAGGGGGCAAGCGUUAUCCGGAAUUACUGGGUGUAAAGGGUGAGUAGGCGGAUAUAUAAGUCAUAUGUGAAAGCCCAUUGCUCAACGAUGGGACUGCAUAAGAAACUAUAGAUCUAGAGUACAGGAGAGGCAAGCGGAAUUCCUAGUGUAGCGGUGAAAUGCGUAGAUAUUAGGAAGAACACCAGUGGCGAAGGCGGCUUGCUGGACUGAAACUGACGCUGAGUCACGAAAGCGUGGGGAGCGAACAGG
rnacentral:rRNA from 1 species